rnacentral:misc_RNA from 1 species
ACAAGGGUCACAGGGGUGAGUGGCACUGGUGGGUUAUAUAAGAGACGGAGGUUCGAGACACACCACUGCUUCAACACCACCACCAGCGAGAUGAGGACUUUCAGCGUCCUCCUGCAGCUCAUGGGCUCCGGUUUCCUGUUGGGCGGCUACUCCCAAGAGAUCACGUCCGAGUACCGCAACGUAACUCAGGUUCUGAGACUCGAUAAUGGCCUGAGUUGGGGUCUGUGGGGAGCGAUGGACUUCUGUGAGAAAGGAAGCUUUGCUCACGCUUUUGAAAUCAAAUUCGACCCGCCAGGCGGAGUCGACAACACAGCUGUCAACGGUGUGAAGCUCUACUGCCGAAACAAAGACCUCUACGACACCGGCUACGUCACUUCUGUCGUAGGCCCCAACGGUGACUGGUUAGGUAUGAGAGUGUGCCACGAGGGCUUCCUGACGGGGCUGAGGGCGGAUGUGAUGGAGCCACAAGGUGUCCUGCACGACGACGUUGCCGUCUAUAACGUGGACAUGAUGUGUGAAGACGGAGAGUACCUAAUUGGCUGGAAUACUUCUUACGUGUUUGAAGAAGAAGAAGAAGUGAGCAGCUGGGAUAGCUGUGACAAAGGUACACACAUCUGCGGACUACAGACACGCUACGAGGACUUCUCAGUGGGCGAUGACACAGGGACCAAUGAUAUUGUCAUGUUCUGUUGCCGGGACUAGGGGCCCCGUUACCUUCUGUUGGUCGGGUGGGUCAGCUAGCGCCCGCCCCGUUAUCUUCUGUUGGUGGGGGUGGGUCAGCUAGCGCGCUCCCCGUUACCUUCUGUUGGUGGUGUGGGUCAGCUAGCGCCCGCCCCGUUACCUUCUGUUGGUGGUGUGGGUCAGCUAGCGCCCCCCGUUACCUUCUGUUGCUGGGGUGGGUCAGCUAGCGCCCGCCCCGUUACCUUCUGUUGGUGGGGUGGGCCUGCUAGCGCCCCCCGUUACCUUCUGUUGGUGGGGUGGGCCUGCUAGCGCCCCCCGUUACCUUCUGUUGGUGGGGUGGGCCUGCUAGCGCCCCCCGUUACCUUCUGUUGGUGGGGUGGGUCUGCUCGCUAUAAUCUUCAUCUUUCUGUUGAUGGAUUCACUAGACAAAUAAAGCUGAUCACAGAUUGAACACUACCUGGAACAUACCUGAAGAGUGUUUCUGGAGUUCUUCUACUCCCCGAGCCCGGCCUGAGGCCAGGCUCGAAUUGUGAUAAGUUGGUCCUACAGGCUGUUGCUCGGAGCGGCCCGCAGGCCCACAUAUCCUCUACAGGCUGGUUGAUCCGGCACUUCUUGCAAGAACUUGUCUAAAUGCCUCUUGAAUAUAUCCACCUUUGUCACAGCAAUAUUUUUGCUGGCGAAAAAUAUUUUUCGUUUGGCGACUACUGGGGCGUUGGUGACCAACAGUGGGUACUACAGGGCACUGCUGAGUACCCAGAUUGACUCAGCAGUGGGUAUGUCAGAACUCUGCUGCUGGGCACCGCUAGAGAAGCAAGCUAGCUGCAGAAAUGUAUUCAUAAUUGUUACAGAAAUUGGAGUACAAAGUUCCUGAUUUAAUAUAUUAUUAAUUUUGAUGUUAUGUUAUUGCAAGAUUUUGUUGUACAGUGAUGCAGUAAAGUUAAUUAUAUUGAAAGGAAUUAUUUAUUAAAAAUUUGGCAAUAUUGUUUUUUGACAUUGGUAUUAUUAUUGGUAUUAUUUUUACUAUUUGUAAUUGAUUGUUAUUGUUUAUUUUAAUAUUAUUUUAACAUUAUUAUUAUUGAGAAAAUCAGUUGGAGCCAUAAAGAGGAUUCGAACCUGCACACUGGGUACUCCCAAGCACACUCCUUAAACCACUAAGCCACGAUAUGCUACAAAAGAUUGCCUUACUUUAGAAGCUGUAUGUGCUGUAUCGCAUAGGCCAAUACAACUUGUGUAAUUUCAUUUAUUCCUGUGUUCCUAUGUAAGGUUAAAUACUGUAAGCUAUGGCCUACAACUACAGUGAAAAAUAUAACAGAUUUAUCAGUUGCAAAGAAUGUUUAUGUUCUCUAUGUUUAUGAAUGUUUAUGUUCUUUAUGUUCUCUAUGUUUAUGUUCUCUAUGUUUAUGAAUGUUUAUGUUCUUUACGUCUCUAUGUUCAUACUUUCGCUGUCUCACCAGACGGGUGACGGACCUCUGUCAAACUUAGCAUUAAGCUAAAAAUUUUUUUUACUUGAUAUGUCUUAUAAACCUUAAAUUACAAUUGUUUUUAACUCUCCAUCAAGUCUGUCAAUCUCUUAGUAAUUAAAAAUAUUCUCGGUAUUCGUGUAACUUAAAUUUAUUAGUUAAUUGAUUACGAAUCAUCACCAAUUUUGCUGUCCAAUUGAGUCAUGGUCCAAGGAGAGGAUUCAUCUAUUGUUUAUGUGUUCAGUACGAAACCUUUAUAUCUUUCUUCGAUCUGGCGCUUUAGUCUGUAUGUAUUCAACAGCUUGGCAACGUGUUACAAACUCGUUCACAACCCAAGGUUAUUAAAACAACCUCGUAGAGUUUCGGAGUUCCUAAACUAUUUAAUAAAUAUAAACUAAAUCUCCAUAAUUGAGAAAAGAUGUAGCUGUUUCGCAAGGGUUGGAAAACUCAAGCCACAGCUGGGGGUGUUUAAACUUUUUUUUCUUCUUCAGUGCUCCAAAAAAGAAUUGUGUUUACAUACGCAUGAAAACGUACAGCCUGUUGAUUUAAAACAAUAGCCCUUCCAGUUGUACCAAAGGUACCAAAAAAAAAAAAAGGUACCAUUCAUCCUCCCAGGCGCUGUACCACCAAAUAACAUUUACUUUACUAUGUAUCAUGCGAUUGGUGUACCAUUUACUGUACCAUGCAAUAUGGUACAUCGAUCACUGUACCAUGCACCAUACAAUAUGGUCUACCAUACACUGUUCUUGUACCAUACAAUCUGGUGUACCGUUUGCUGUACCAUGCCAGUUAAUGUGCCAUUCACUGUAGCCUGCACUAUACUGUGAUUGAGGAAAGAUGUAUAUGUUUCGUAAGUGUAUACUUGAUGACUACUGGCAAGAGUCACCCAGAAUGCGACCAGCUCACCUCCUGGGCUUUUGUGUAAGAUUUUGUAGUCUGUAAUUAUUUGACAAAAGAAAAAGGCUUGAUCUUUUAUUCAGCCAAUUUGUAUUCUACUUCUGUAAUUAUAUUAAACAACUUUG